rnacentral:rRNA from 1 species
AUUGAACGCUGGCGGCAUGCUUUACACAUGCAAGUCGAACGGUAACAGGCCGCAAGGUGCUGACGAGUGGCGAACGGGUGAGUAAUGCAUCGGAACGUGCCCAGUCGUGGGGGAUAACUGCUCGAAAGAGCAGCUAAUACCGCAUACGAUCUAUGGAUGAAAGCGGGGGACCGUAAGGCCUCGCGCGAUUGGAGCGGCCGAUGUCCGAUUAGGUAGUUGGUGGGGUAAAGGCUCACCAAGCAAACGAUCUGAAGCUGGUCUGAGAGGACGACCAGCCACACUGGGACUGAGACACGGCCCAGGCUCCUACGGGAGGCAGCAGUGGGGAAUUUUGGACAAUGGGGGCAACCCUGAUCCAGCAAUGCCGCGUGCAGGAAGAAGGCCUUCGGGUUGUAAACUGCUUUUGUACGGAACGAAACGGUCUGGGUUAAUACCCUGGGCUAAUGACGGUACCGUAAGGAUAAGCACCGGCUAACUACGUGCCAGCCGCCGCAGUAACAC